rnacentral:misc_RNA from 1 species
AAAAAUUAUCUAUGUAUUAUCACAGCACUUGCUCCAGUUUCUGAAUUAUGCUAGUGUAGUCUACAUGGAGGAACUACGUUUGUGAAUGAUAAUGGUCAAGUUGGGGAUCUUUUUGUCUUUGGUUUUCAUGUUAUUUGAUAAUUGAGCUCCAUGCAGACAACAGGAGGCUGAAAAAUGGUAGUUUUUCUUUGUAGGACUGCAUUAAUUGAAUCGUGAUAUAAAUG